rnacentral:rRNA from 1 species
UGGAUAAGAGCUGAAAGCAUCUAAGCUCGAAGUCAUCCGAAAGACGAGGCAUCUCAGGGGACUCAUAGAAGAUGAGUUUGAUAGACAGCGGGUGUAAGUACCGAGGGUUCGCCCGAGGUGCUCAGCCCAGCUGCACUAACCCCCCGAGCAUCAUCAAUU